rnacentral:lncRNA from 1 species
CCUGGAUAAGGUUGACCCUUUGGUUAUCUAAUGUGGGGUAACUGAUUUCUUGACCUAACCAUUUUGUUAAUUUUUUUCGAUCUACCUCCCACAUAUUAGGGUUCCGUUCUCUCUGCAUAUCCCUAUAAGUUUUAUCAUUUGGCCCAUAAUAUAUACAAAGGGACAGGACAAUGCCUUUCAGAUCGGCAAUAGUUUUCUCAAUAGCUACCUUGUGUUCUUAUAAGGCACCCAUAAGUUAGAUUUUCUAGUCACAGGUCAAGUUCGAUGCAAU